rnacentral:rRNA from 1 species
UACGAAGGGGGCUAGCGUUGCUCGGAAUCACUGGGCGUAAAGGGUGCGUAGGCGGGUUUUUAAGUCAGGGGUGAAAUCCUGGAGCUCAACUCCAGAACUGCCUUUGAUACUGGCAAUCUCGAGUCCGGGAGAGGUGAGUGGAACUGCGAGUGUAGAGGUGAAAUUCGUAGAUAUUCGCAAGAACACCAGUGGCGAAGGCGGCUCACUGGCCCGGUACUGACGCUGAGGUGCGAAAGCGUGGGGAGCAAACAGG